AGUGAACGCUGGCGGUAGGCCUAACACAUGCAAGUCGAACGGCAGCACAGUAAGAGCUUGCUCUUACGGGUGGCGAGUGGCGGACGGGUGAGGAAUACAUCGGAAUCUACUUUUUCGUAGGGGAUAACGUAGGGAAACUUACGCUAAUACCGCAUACGACCUACGGGUGAAAGCAGGGGAUCUUCGGACCUUGCGCGAUUGAAUGAGCCGAUGUCGGAUUAGCUAGUUGGCCGGGUAAAGGCCCACCAAGGCGACGAUCCGUAGCUGGUCUGAGAGGAUGAUCAGCCACACUGGAACUGAGACACGGUCCAGACUCCUACGGGAGGCAGCAGUGGGGAAUAUUGGACAAUGGGCGCAAGCCUGAUCCAGCCAUACCGCGUGGGUGAAGAAGGCCUUCGGGUUGUAAAGCCCUUUUGUUGGGAAAGAAAAGCAGCAGGUUAAUACCCCGCUGUUCUGACGGUACCCAAAGAAUAAGCACCGGCUAACUUCGUG
rnacentral:rRNA from 1 species